UGAGAUACCAAACCCAAUUUUCUGUUUCUUGUUUUCUCCUACGUAUAAAUAUCAUUUUUUAAGCUCAAAAUUGAUCGUGAAAUCCCGGAAACGCAGGAAAAUGAAAGAAAUUGAAAGUUCCGAUCCGUAAACAAACUCGCUGUUUAAUUGACCAUUUCUAUGGUUCCAGAGGUUCAUUUUCUUCUGUUUUCUCGAAUAUUCUCAGCAACCAAACGAAGCGUAAGCAAGGUGAUCCAUAUAUUUUCUUGGGCACCUUCUGCGUUUUUGAAGAUUAGGUUCGUUAGGGUUUUAAUGCGCUAUUGAUCUGUGGCUCUAUUGGAUAGUUUUAUUAUUCUGCGUCUUUGAUUAGUAUAUUAUGGCCCAUCUUUGAGCUUUGGAUUUAUUUCGGGGAAAUGGAAUUGAAAUUUCCAUUCUUUUUUCUUUUUUUCUUUCUUAGGUUCUCAGGUUAUUGUGUAAAUAUAAUUCAUUGUCGUUAAUAAGGGGUUGAGGACCUAGAAUGCAAUUGUUUUGGGUUUAUUCUGCUUAAUGUUGAGAAUUUAAUAAGUUUUUCAAUUUGUUUCAGAGAAUUCAAUUCAAAUGAGCAGUUGCUUGUGCUGCUUUUGCGGAG
rnacentral:lncRNA from 1 species